AGGUUACAAGGCAACUCAUGUGUGUGAAUUCCUGUUUGUGCUGCAGAAUUGCACCUUUGAAGGGGAUGCAGAAGGAAGGCCUGGGCACUGCACUGCAGCAGCUAUGUGCCAAAGCAGUGUGAGAUGAAGGUUGCUUUAGCUGACCUCUCUGCCUUGAUCACUUGUAGGUUAUGAACAUGAAAAUAUGGCACUCCAGACCCAGCCUGCUGAACGUGGCUGUCRGCGAAUGUUCAUUUCUAACAUUUCUCACUAGGGUCCCAAGAAUGCUGAUUUGCUUGUCUGUCUCAUGCCCUCUCCAUCUGAGAAAUCUUUGCAAGGGUCACACUCCUGACUUCCAAGAAAAUAGGUGGUGAAUGGAUAUUGUUGUACAGAAGAGUGGAAGAACCAAGCUUGACAUUUGAAGCUGGUGCCAUAAGAACUUCAUCCCACAGCAGAACUGUAAGCUGAAAAAAAUGCAGGUCCUUCUGCUCAUCAGUAGGUUUGAUAUAUGUCCCCAAGAGGAAGUUAUGCAGGAAAGUUUUGUCUGUGCAUAUUGUUUAUUGUCAUUUCUUAUUGUCUUGGACACUGUGCUCCCUUUUUGCUUGACUAUGAUGUGCAUGAUUGCUUUUAGGAAAAAAAUUCAAGGUAAUAAUUUAUAACAAUCUGCAUUCAGAGGCCUCUCAGCUUUCACAUACUUGUCUUAAAUCAUUUAAGAGACAUUUAUGAUUGAUUUACAAGCAGAUUUU